rnacentral:rRNA from 1 species
GUGUCAGCAGCCGCGGUAAUACGUAGGGUGCAGGCGUUAAUCGGAAUUACUGGGCGUAAAGCGUGCGCAGGCGGCUUCCUAAGUCAGAUGUGAAAUCCCCGGGCUUAACCUGGGAACUGCGUUUGAAACUGGGGGGCUAGAGUGCGGCAGAGGGGGGUGGAAUUCCACGUGUAGCAGUGAAAUGCGUAGAUAUGUGGAGGAACACCGAUGGCGAAGGCAGCCCCCUGGGCCAGCACUGACGCUCAUGCACGAAAGCGUGGGGAGCAAACAGGAUUAGAUACCCUGGUAGUCCACGCCCUAAACUAUGUCGACUAGUUGUUGGGGGAGUCUGUCCCUCAGUAACGUAGCUAACGCGUGAAGUCGACCGCCUGGGGAGUACGGUCGCAAGAUUAAA